ACCGAGUCUGGAGCUGCUCCAAUUUCAAUUCCAUCAUGUUAGCUUUAUACUUGUUGUUGUACUAUUUAUUUGGUUGAUUUGUGUUGCCAUUGUAGUAGAUUUUGGAAACACGAGAUAAAAUUGCUGAAAAGACGAAGAUCUUAGUCCCUUUCAAUAUUCUUCCUCUCGAUCCUGAUAGUGCAAAUCAAGUGAUAAUGAGAUUUCCUGAGUUUUUAGGUGUCAAGGUGUGAAGAUGUUCAUGUUCAUUUCCUUCUUCCAGAUCCAGUUUCUUCCCUUUUGAUCUAUAAUCUGACAGUGUAAAAGUUACACUUACUGGUUUCUAUCCCAAUUUCAAACGCAGUGCAAGAUGAUAAGAGCAAUAAGAUUCCAAUCAGGUAUUACAAUUAUGUUUCGCUUAUCGAUACGUACAUAUUGUGUAACUAUUGUUUUUUCCAGAUUUUGCAUUGGCUUUUUGGAACAAAAUUUGAAUAACAUCUCAAGAUAUUGUUCACUGUAAUAUGAAAGGGUUAUAUUGCAAUAGAUUAUUGAUUUCUAAUAAAUUCCUUAGUUUCAAUUUCACUU